GACGAACGCUGGCGGCGUGCUUAACACAUGCAAGUCGAACGAAGAGCGAUGGAAGCUUGCUUCUAUCAAUCUUAGCGGCGAACGGGUGAGUAACGCGUAAUCAACCUGCCCUUCAGAGGGGGACAACAGUUGGAAACGACUGCUAAUACCGCAUACGAUCUAAUCUCGGCAUCGAGGAUAGAUGAAAGGUGGCCUCUACAUGUAAGCUAUCACUGAAGGAGGGGAUUGCGUCUGAUUAGCUAGUUGGAGGGGUAACGGCCCACCAAGGCGAUGAUCAGUAGCCGGUCUGAGAGGAUGAACGGCCACAUUGGGACUGAGACACGGCCCAGACUCCUACGGGAGGCAGCAGUGGGGAAUCUUCCGCAAUGGACGAAAGUCUGACGGAGCAACGCCGCGUGAGUGAUGACGGCCUUCGGGUUGUAAAGCUCUGUUAAUCGGGACGAAAGGCCUUCUUGCGAAUAGUGAGAAGGAUUGACGGUACCGGAAUAGAAAGCCACGGCUAACUACGUG
rnacentral:rRNA from 1 species